rnacentral:rRNA from 1 species
UUGAACGCUGGCGGCAGGCCUAACACAUGCAAGUCGAGCGGAUGAAGGGAGCUUGCUCCUGGAUUCAGCGGCGGACGGGUGAGUAAUGCCUAGGAAUCUGCCUGGUAGUGGGGGAUAACGUCCGGAAACGGGCGCUAAUACCGCAUACGUCCUGAGGGAGAAAGUGGGGGAUCUUCGGACCUCACGCUAUCAGAUGAGCCUAGGUCGGAUUAGCUAGUUGGUGGGGUAAAGGCCUACCAAGGCGACGAUCCGUAACUGGUCUGAGAGGAUGAUCAGUCACACUGGAACUGAGACACGGUCCAUACUCCUACGGGAGGCAGCAGUGGGGAAUAUUGGACAAUGGGCGAAAGCCUGAUCCAGCCAUGCCGCGUGUGUGAAGAAGGUCUUCGGAUUGUAAAGCACUUUAAGUUGGGAGGAAGGGCAGUAAGUUAAUACCUUGCUGUUUUGACGUUACCAACAGAAUAAGCACCGGCUAACUUCGUG